ensembl:lncRNA
CACACACACACACACCCCCGUUUAAUUGUAUCGCCCCCCCGCCGCCGCUUUUGUUUUACGUCGCUUAAUUUACUCAAAAAAAAAAAAAACCAAAAACAUUUCCAUUUUUCUCUUUUUUUUUUUUUGUCAUUUUAUUUCCCCGUUCUUUCAUCGUUCUUCCCGAUUUUUUCCCCACUUCUCCCCUUUUCCCCUCUUUUUUAUUCCCCUUUGCCCCAUUUUCCUAUUUUUCCCCUUCUCUUUUUCCCCCUUUCACCUCCCCACGCCCCCCUAAUGGAAGCAGAGGGCAGCAGGCAGGACACAGCGCAGCGCUGAGCUCCCCCCCAGCACACAGCCCUCGAAGUUCCCUUUGGAGAAGAAAGAAUUCACAAAAGCCAGCUUUCCACCCCGGCCCGCGGAGCGCCGAGUUCCUGCCCCGAAAUAUCUCGGCGAGGAGCGCUGCCAGCGGCUCCGUCCUCCUCCAGGACUCAUUUUCCUCUGUUUAUCUUGAAAAUAUUUCUGUGCUGAGGUCCCACCCAGCGGCACACAGCCCUGCACAGCCGCCUCCAGCCGACACACAGCCCUUGUUUAUGUGGAGCGGAGCCGACGGAGCGCAGGGCCGAUGCUGGAGGAGAGCCCCCCCAGCACAGAGCGUCCCGCCCCGCAGCUCCCCGCUCACCCACUGACACACAGAUGCCUCCAGUUGCUGGUUUGGGAGUUUCUCGUGGUUUAUGUGAUAAUAAUGGCAAAGAAUGCUGCGGUUGGAUCUCCUAGAGCUCUGCUGAGAGUUGGGCACAUCCUGGGGUGCAGCGAUGCUCCGUCUCUGGUCCACGGGUGUCUGCAACAACCGCCCUGCAGCGGGCACAGAGUUUUGCAAGAGGCCGUUGCAAAGGUUUCAGUGUGAAUGUGCUGGGCUUCGUGGCAGAGGGCUGGGAUGGGGACCUGGCUGUCCCCUCACCACCCCGCUGCAGGAUCUGACCCCGAUUUGGGGCGCCCACCCUGAGCAUCCCCUCCCCAAACCGCUCCCCCUUCCUGCAGCAUCACGCCGUGCAAACACCCUCAAUCACAGCAACGCUCAAAGCCCGGCCAGCAGGAUUGAGUUACCUGCCCUGGAAGAAUAAAGGAGGCAUUCAGCCAGAGCUUACGCCUUUCCCCCUGCCAAGGCCCGACACCACGGUGACGGUCACACGCAGAGGCACAGAAACACGAGCCCCGGUGACCCCGAUCUGCAUCCCCCCUCCUCCCACCCCACGGCACCGGGCAGAGCGCACGCUUUGCUUUGCUUGCCCGUCACGAGCUGCCUUAUCUUUUAAUAGAACCUUUAAGAGCAGAAGUCAGGCUACCCGGGCACAAAGGCGGCUAAAUCUCCUCCCGGGACAUUAAUCAUUUUUCUUUGACAUGUUUUGCUAAUUAGACGAAGCGUUUCCCUCGAUGGGGGGGGGGGGCUGGGAAAAAGAAAGAAAGAAGGGGGAGAGGUGGAAGAGAGGAAGGAGCAGGGCAGAGGGACCGACGUGUAACGCUGCUCCGUUCUUCGAGCACCAGCUUGCAGGGAGCAGACCCAGCCCACGUGGCUCCAACAUCAUCAGGACGUGGCGAUCACCGUCCCUGGAGGUGCCCCAGGCCGUGGUGGGCACUGGACAGCCUGAGCUGAAGGGGGCAGCCGGCCCAUGGCCACCCAUCUGUGCCUAUGGGUGCGUGAGCUGAGAUGCCCCACGGGGGGAAAACACAGAGGGUGAAGGUUUCUCCCCCCUGUGCAGCCACUGCUCGUGGAUGCAUGGAGCGUCCCCUGUGAUUUCUUAAAAUGCACCGUUUGUCUGGGAUUCCUGGCAAUGCCUGCUGCUGCACCCACAGACAUGGCCUGGCACCCCCACAGCCCACGGCUGAGGGCUCAUUUGGGGCUGUAGAAGGCAGCAGGAAGCCUCUGCCAUGGUGGCUUGUCAAUAGACCCUCUAACUGCAGGGACAGGGACAAGCUUGUCCCGGGCAGGACUGGCUCCUUUUUGCAAGAGUCCAACUCAGCUCCCCCAGGACCCGAUGGUUUUUUUUUGUGGGGAACAGAAUAACCCACAGUGAAAUCGCUAUGAGGACGCACUGAAACAAAAUCCCGACAAGAAACCGCUGCCUGCUCGUGCCCCCCGGCACUGCAGAGCAUUCGCUCCCAUCGCUUACCAGCAGCUCGAACCCAAACCCUCCAUGUGCAAACCUUUGGGGCAGCGCUAUGGGGCAGCGCUGCAGAAAUCAAUCACAGCGCCGCACUCCCUGGGCGCGCUCCUCAUUGCUGCGGGAUGACACACUCUGCCCCUCCCCCCCCCCCCACCCCCCUCCCGCCGCCCCCACCACCAAAACAAAGCGCUGUUUCUAAUUUGGGGUGUUUGGAAAUCAUUUUCCAUCCCGGCUUCCAAACGAAACCAAAAAAGACAUUUGCUUUCCAGAGCACCGCGGAGGGGUCAGAGCUCUGCGGGAGAGCGAAAAGCCGCGGGAAAAAACGAGUGCUGCACCCCCACACCCAUUUCCAAGAAAAAUAAAAUAAAUUACAAGAAGACAAUGCUGUUAAAUAUAGAGCAUAAAGCACAGCUCGGCACCAUUCAUCAUUCGGGGGGUGUUGUCGCCAACAUCUCCCCGGCGGAUCCUGUUGGCUGUUGCAUCCCCAGGGGACGCGUUGCGGGCGUGCUGAUGCUGGCCCGGGGAGCAGCAGAGGGGCGGUGGGAACCCCGCGGGUGCCUCCGCCGCUGUGUGAGAGCUGCUGGAAAAUCAUAGUCCUCUCCCGAGUUAAAUUCAGCCCUGGGAGCGCCGUCGGGCCGCGUCCCGGCGCGGUUUGUACAGCCAGAGUGGGGUGGAAAAAAGGAAAAGCCUUCAAGGUGAGGAAAGCGCUGUGGGAAGGUCGGCAUCCCAGGUGCUUUCGUGGGGAGAGUGAGGAGGAGCAUCCGGCACGCCGCAAAACAAGUGUUUUUCCAUAAGUUGCUGGUGGAAAGAGCAGAUCAGAGCAGGUAGCUGCGUCCUGCACGGCGGUCCCCAGCUCUGGGGUCUCUGAUAGGAGCCUCAUGGGUGGGGGAGGGUGCUUGGAGCAUCACCCCACUGCGAGGCUCCAUUCUGCCCAGGGUGAGGCAGGGAAACCAAACUGGGUUCGUGUCUGCAAGGCUUCAAUGGAGAACCCCAGACAUGAAAGGUCUCCAGGCCAUGGGGCGGCAUCCUGGUGGUGGUUGGACAUGGAGCUGUGUUGGACACGGAGCAGUGGUGGAGAUGGAGCAGUGGUGGAGAUGGAGCACUGUUGGCCAUGGAGCAGUGUUCAGUCCACAGCAUCGGGGCAGGAUUUCCCACCCUUCCCAGCUCAAUUCCUGUGAGCAUUUCUCACGGACACCCAACGUGUGCCAUCACUGGACUCACAACUUCUCCUCAUCUCCUCCCCACCUCCAUCUGCCCCCGAGGUGCUGCACAGAGCACUGGGAGGGCCCCGAGGAGGAAAAAAAAAAUAGAAAAUAAUCAGAACUGUUAAAAAAAAAAAAAAGCCACUGGAAACAAACAAACAGCUCUGAUUUAUCGCUCACGAGAAGAAAUGGUGCAUGUUGGAAGCAAGCACAGGAAGUCCUGGGGACAAUAAAUCCCGCACGGGAGCAGAGAACCAACACAGUUCCACGUUCGGGAACACAGCGAGGAUAUGGAGACAGCGGGAGGGUGAAGGGGGGGAAUUUGGGGUGGGACCCCAAAGCAGAGGGGUGCGGAGCUGGGAGCGCUCUCCCCAUCACCUCGAGUUUUGGGAUGGAGCCCAGGUGCCGGCAAAGGGAUCUGCCGGGACCCCCCGCUCUGAUGUGGCCGUGUGAGGACGGGGAGCAGCGGCUGAGUCCGUCCCGACCUCAUCACCCGCGGAACACCAGCAAUCCUGGCUGUGCUGUGGGUACAGAAACAGCACGUCCCCACUGCUGGCCGGGGCUCCUGGCAGCCCCAGGGAGGAUUUGGCUGCGCAGGAAUUUGGAAGCUGCCUGAAAUCCCGAAGAAAUGAGGGAAGGCUGAGGAGUGUCGCUGUGAUGGAGGCUCAGCCCCGCCACGGCAGCUUGCAGCACCCCACGCAUGGCGCCGGCAGCAAACUGGGAGCUGUGGCUGUGGGAUAUCAUCCCCUCUUCUAUGGGGACACCGCAGGGGCUCCCCAGGACCCCCUGACCCCAUUCCCCCCCCCCCCCCCAUGGCUGGGGGUCACAUUUGUUGCAUCCUUUGGGAUGAGGCAGAAAACACCACAGCACUCAGUGCCCCAUCUCCGUUUCAUUGUCCUCCCCGCACCCAAACGUGGUUUGUUUUUAGCCCGGGAAGGCGGUGGGGUGGGGGGGAGGGAUGAGGCUGAUUAUUAAAUGCCAUCGGCUCCAAUUAAUCCCCCAAAUUGACUCAGAGGUACCACGGCGCCCAUUCCGGUGAAUGUUUUGCCAUCUUUCAGUGCUGCUCUGCAGAUCCGACCCAUAGCAGCCAUGGACAGACCCAACGGAUCAGAUGUGAUCCCAAACGCGAUGGCAGUGAGCCCGGGCUAGGAAAGCAGAGAUCCCAAACCCACCCCGUUGGGCACAUCGUGCUGCACCAGCGCCGCUCUGCAGAAGGCAGCUGGAGGCUCUGCCCCUAUCCCAGCGCCGGCUGUGGGGGAUUUACCAGCACCAGCACGGCCCUUUGCUUUGCUUUCCGAACGAAAGUAAAGCGGAGCAGUUUGCAGAAGGUUCUCAUUAGGGAAACAUCUGGAGUCAGCCCUUCUCCCCCAAAGGGCAGCGGAGUGCUCGGAGGAAUCGGGGGAGGAGGAGGGAUGGAUGGCUGAGGCGUGUUUCGGCGUGCUGCCGGGGCAGGGACCCAAGGAAGGUCCCAGCAGCGCUCCCAGCAUCUGUCCCAGCGCCCGGGGGUGCCCGGAUCUGUCCGCUGGGAUGGAUGGGGCUGUAGUGACAUCUGCUGGGCUCUCACUGGGGAAGUCCCGCGGAACCCGCACGGCACGGACCCUCCGGCGCCGCACAGACCCGGAUGGCAGCGCUUCCCCUCGUCCUGGGAGAAACGACGGAUGUCUGACGGCCGCGGUGUGCCCCGACGUGCCGCCGUUGCUGCGAGGGCGUCGCUGUCCGUAUACGGUGACAAAACCAAACUGGGACCCAUCCGUGAGCGCAGCGCGCCCGCAGCGUCCCGCUGCCCGCAAGGGGCUCUGCUGGGAGCGGAGUGCUGCACGGACAGCGGGGUGAUGGAGUGGGGACGGCUGUGGUCACAGCCCCCAUGGAGAGGGCAGGGGUGGCACUGUGCUACCGGGGGGCGGGAGAGACCUGGAGCUGGAGAAACCCCGCGCCCACCUGGGAGUGGGAAAGGACGCGAUGAGGAGCGGGUAGGGAUGGGGGCAGGCUGUUUAUCUGGAGCUGAUUUUGAUUUUCCCCUUUCCGAUACCAGCAGGAUGCCGUGCUGCGCCUCAUUAUGCAAAUAGAAGCAAUUAGAGCUCACCCAGGCUCUGCCCACGUGAUGGUUUAUGGCACUCGCAGAAAUCCUUCCUGCUACAUGAGGAGAAUGACAACGGCCCCGGGCUGCAGCCAGCGCACCCCAACCGCGGGGAGCUGAUGGCGGUGCCUUUGGUGGAGCCCCACAUCAGGGACCGACCCCAUCACUGCUGCCCAGAAGCGCCCACGGGAGGGACUGCCCAGGAGGAGCCCCCCAACCCCCCAGGUGACAUCGUGGCACUGGGGACGGCUGCAGCCCUCAGCCCCGAGGACGGCACGUGGGGCUGCAGUGCCACGCGUGGCAUACAUCAGUGCAGCUCAGUCCGCCCAACCGGGGGCUGCCGUGGUUAUCCCACGGUCACCCAUUCCGAAAUAGAAUAUGGAAGGCAAACAUGUACAGAGUCGCCAGCCCACCUCACGCCGGACUUCCUCGGUGUAUUUUCAGUUCCUUGAGCAGGGAAGGGCUGUCCUGGGCCCAGUGCUCAUCGUGGCACAAGAGGCGUCCAUCAGUAGCGCAGGGUGCGGACACAGCGAGGACCGGAGCACAGAGAGCAGCCCCGUGGGGACACAGCAUUGGAGGCACUGGGACUACCUGAGGGCCACUGAUGGGUGAGAGAGUUGAUUUUAAAGUGGAGGAUCUCCAAUAAAGGCAGAGGAAUACAACCUCCAAUGGGCACAGGGGAAGGGCAGAACUCACCCAGCAAGGAGCCAGCAGGGCACGGCCUGCACAGCCAACGGUGGGGAGGGCUGGAAUCCCCUCCCGGGUUCGGGAUGCACUCGGUGUGCUUUUAAAGGGGCUCUGGUUGUGCUUCAAAACAGCCUGUCUGUAAUUGCCAAAAAAAUAAUUAAAAAAAAAAAAUAGACAAAACAACCCGCUACAAUGACUAAUUAGCUCGCUCCUGCCUCGUACCCUGUAAACAAAUGUAUUUGUAACCAAUUUGCAAGCACUUUGCAUAAGGGGCCCAGAACACUCAUGCCUGUUUGAUGCAUUUUGACAUUAAUUUGAUAAUAGCGGCUUAACAAGGAAUCCAGGCUCCCUAGCUAUAAAUAUGCUGCUUUUCCCCCUCCUUUUAUCUGCACAGUGAAAUAAUGUUGUUUUUCCCCCUGCUGCAAUAACCACCAUCCAACCCUUUCAUGAACACCCUUUAUGUCCUUUAGCAUUUGCAAGGCUUUUUUUUUUUCCUCCUCUCUCUUUUCUUCCCUCCUCCUGUAGAAAGCAGGAGGGUUUUACGAGCUGUCCUCUUCAUUCCUGGUUACGGAGGGGAUGGAGAGGACAGCGAUGGUGCUCCAAUAAUGCUGCUUAUGGGAGAGUGGCUCAGAAGCCCUUCCUCCAUCCACCUGUGCUCCCCACCUGUGGCAGGGAUGCAGCUCAUCCUCUUUUCCCCCUUCUCAGCACGCUGUGGAUCUCCAACUCCACGCAGCCCUUCGGUGCCACACCAGCAGCAAAUGGGAGCACAAUGAAAUGGGAAUGGGAUGCUGGGGACAGCAUUGGUGCCACCCAGAGCACAGGUCCCAGCCCCAGUGGGUGGCACCGCAGCAUCGCCAGAGCCACCGCGUGUCCCACAGACACCAAACCACAGCCACAGCCCAUCCCUGCCCCAGCAGCAACACUUCUCUCCUCCUGGUCCCUCCCAAAGCUUCCCAUCUAUGUGUAGAACCGCGGGAUGGUUGGGUUGGAAGGAACCUUAAAGACUGCGGAAUGGUUGGGUUGGAAAGGACCUCACAGCCCCUCAGCCUCAACCCUGCUGUGGGGCAGCGUGGAACAAUAAUGUGACUGAAUGGCUGCAGAGCUCUCACCCUGCUGUCUCCCGGCUCCCCUACGGCCCCCACCUGGGAACAGUCACAGCUCUGUGCCAGCAGAUGUGCCGCAGGGGCACAGCACAGCUCCAGGACGAGCUGCUCCAUCCCCAGCCCUCCUCUGGGAUUAUUAAUGCCCAAACAAUGCAGUGAGCCCCAGCGAUAAGCCAGAGCCCCAGCAGAGUACAUUCCUUCCUCAGCCUCCU